GAAUAGAAAGAGGAGGUAUGGAAUUCACAAAGAGAUGUCAGGGUGGAAGGUGAGUAGGGAGAGGACGAAGAGUUUUUAAAUAGAAGAGAGAAAAAGGGAGGUGGAGGAAUGCAGGGGUGGAACGGCCGAGCUCGACGUAUGGAGGGGGGCAGAGAUCGACUGGAGCCAGACUGGGUGUAUGCAUCUGAGAGAGUCACUGUGGCGGGAUACAAUAAAAAAAGAGAGGGCAAGACUUCAUUCACUAAACAGAUGUAAACCAGCUAUCUCAGCCACCCACAUCCACCAAAUCUUACGGGGCUGUGGUUUGAUAGAUUCACAGAGAAUUUAAACUGGCUGCAGUCCAAACUAAACAGACUGGAGACACGGCACUACUACCUGACAGCCAAGGUGGUGGUGUUCAGUGCCCGAGGAGGUUGCCCUGGAUACAUGCUAAAAGGAACGGACAAAAUGAUCUCUGCAUGCUUGCCUGCAAAUCACAAUGGGACACUCCGUGUUUCUUGUCCCUCUGUCUGUUAAUGUGACCUGAAGUGUGGAGAGCUCUGGCUGGUUUGCCUUAGAUGGCUGCGAUGGUGCAACCAUGACCAAUCAGAAAAUACUGGACAGGAGAAU